CCUACGGGAGGCUGCAGUGAGGAAUAUUGGUCAAUGGACGAGAGUCUGAACCAGCCAAGUAGCGUGUAGGAUGACUGCCCUAUGGGUUGUAAACUUCUUUUAUAUGGGAAUAAAAUGUUUCACGUAUGCGAUUUUGUAUUUACCAUAUGAAUAAGGUUCGGCUAACUCCGUUCCAGCAGCCGCGGUACUACGGAGGAUCCGAGCGUUACCCGGAUUUAUUGGGUGUAAAGGGAGCGUAGGUGGAUUGUUAAGUCAGUUGUGAAAGUUUGCGGCUCAACCGUAAAAUGGCAGUUGAGACUGGCAGUCUUGAGUGCGGUAGAGGUGGGCGGAAUUCGUGGUGUAGCAGUGAAAUGCGUAGAUAUCGCGAAGAACUCCGAUUGCGAAGGCAGCUCACUGGACUGCAACUGACGCUGAGGCUCGAAAGUGUGGGUAGCAAACAGGAUUAGAUACCCCAGUAGUC
rnacentral:rRNA from 1 species